CCUACGGGAGGCAGCAGUGAGGAAUAUUGGUCAAUGGACGAGAGUCUGAACCAGCCAAGUAGCGUGAAGGAUGACUGCCCUAUGGGUUGUAAACUUCUUUUAUAAAGGAAUAAAACGAGGCACGUGUGCCUUUUUGCAUGUACUUUAUGAAUAAGGAUCGGCUAACUCCGGGCCAGCCGCCGCGGUAAUACGGAGGAUCCGAGCGUUAUCCGGAUUUAUUGGGUUUAAAGGGAGCGUAGAUGGGUUGAUAAGUCAGUUGUGAAAGUUUGCGGCUCAACCGUAGAAGUGCAAUUGAUACUGGUAGUCUUGAGUACGGUUGAGGUAAGCGGAAUGCGUGGUGUAGCGGUGAAAUGCUUAGAUAUCACGAAGAACCCCGAUUGCGAAGGCAGCUUACUAAACUGUGACUGACAUUGAUGCUCGAAAGUGUGGGUAUCAAACAGGAUUAGAUACCCCUGUAGUC
rnacentral:rRNA from 1 species